UAACUACAACUACCCUUUGAUUGAUUGAUUGAUUGUCCAUGCCCACCACACCUUCCAUCAAAGCAGGAGAGAGCUUUCACGUCUUUCGUAAAGCAAUACGAAGUGUGAUCUAUAUGUAUGAUGUAAUACAAGUGUAAUUACCUCCACAAUCUCACUUUCCAUGCAAAACUUUGGAUUAAAACAACCCAAACCACACUUACCCUGGCAGAGUAUGUUGCAUUACAGAUGAACAAGGGAAUGCAGGAGUGUCCAAGAUCUUCUUCGGUGGUGUAUAAAUUAAUUUCAGAAGGUGGAAGUGACCCCAUGUGAACCCUGUGCACGCUGCGAGGCUUGCGUUGCCACUCCUGCUCUCUCUCGCUCUGUCUUUCCAUCACCUGGUGUCGCCGUGGGUUUCUCUUUUUGAUCUGGGCCUCAAUUCCCCCAAUUCCUCUCCUGCUGCCGUUGCUGUUGCUGUUUCUCUUCACUUCACUUCACUGUUGUGCUGUCCUGCAACCCCGACAGUCCUCAAUCCCUCUCCCUCAUUCAAAUACCCUGGUACUCAGUAAAGUGUAACUAAAUCUGCCUCUGCACGCGGGGCUUUAUUGAACCUCCUUGCGUCUGGGAUGAGGCUGUCAGGAACCCAUCAGCGCAACAUGGUUUCUGUUUCGUGUAACUGGUGGCAAGCGUGCAUGGAUCUCCGCUUCGAAUGAUGUCCCAAACAGGAUCUGACAAAUAACAUUCACAACCACGUUGUAGCAAUCGCAGCUUGUCUCCAGCGAGGGUUUUACACACACAGCCUCGUGAAGCAGCAGCGCUGAUGAGCCUCGGAUUGCAAAAGUGGGCCAGAUUGGAAAUUGAGAGUGUGGACUCACCAGAAGCCCUCUGCAAGCACAGAGUUUUAGGGUUUAGGGUUUAGGGUUUUUGGUGCGUCGUGUACGAGAGAGAAGAAUGUGGAGAAUUCAUGGGGAGUAGUAGUAGUAUUGUGGGGUAUCUAUUGCAUUGCAGAUUCAAAAGAAUAUUAGCAAAAUAAGCAAAAGGAAUGUGAAGUGUUUUUCAUACCUAAAACAACCAAUUUUAAUAAUAGUAGAAUUGUAAAGAUUGUCAUCUACUUUGUACAACCCUUUUUUAAUGUUAGAUUGUUGUUUGAAAAGGAUUUUUACUUGUAAGGAUGAGGGUUGUGCCCUUGAGUUGUUGCAAGUGCAUUAGCCUAAGCAACAUGUGGAUAACAAUUGAGGGAUAUAACUAUACAUAUUUAUGAAAGAGGCAAAAGUUAG